rnacentral:rRNA from 1 species
CAGCCGCCGCGGGAACACAGAGGGUGCGAGCGUUAAUCGGAUUUACUGGGCGUAAAGCGUGCGUAGGCGGCUUCUUAAGUCGGAUGUGAAAUCCCUGAGCUUAACUUAGGAAUUGCAUUCGAUACUGGGAAGCUAGAGUAUGGGAGAGGAUGGUAGAAUUCCAGGUGUAGCGGUGAAAUGCGUAGAGAUCUGGAGGAAUACCGAUGGCGAAGGCAGCCAUCUGGCCUAAUACUGACGCUGAGGUACGAAAGCAUGGGGAGCAAACAGGAUUAGAUACCCCGGUAGUCCCUGUCUCUUAUAC